GACCGAGGGUGCAAACGUUGCUCGGAAUCACUGGGCGUAAAGGGCGCGUAGGCGGGAAUGUAAGUCGGGCGUGAAAUCCCCAGGCUCAACCUGGAAACUGCACUCGAAACUGCGUUUCUUGAGUAUCGGAGAGGAAAGCGGAAUUCCUGGUGUAGAGGUGAAAUUCGUAGAUAUCAGGAGGAACACCAGUGGCGAAGGCGGCUUUCUGGACGGUAACUGACGCUGAGGCGCGAAAGCAUGGGGAGCGAACAGG
rnacentral:rRNA from 1 species